UACGGAGGGUGCGAGCGUUAAUCGGAAUUACUGGGCGUAAAGGGCGCGUAGGCGGUGUGUCAAGUCAGGCGUGAAAGCCCCGGGCUCAACCUGGGAACCGCGCUUGAGACUGGCACGCUCGAGUUCGGGAGAGGAUGGUGGAAUUCCCGGUGUAGAGGUGAAAUUCGUAGAUAUUGGGAAGAACACCGAUGGCGAAGGCAGCCAUCUGGACCGACACUGACGCUGAGGCGCGAAAGCGUGGGGAGCAAACAGG
rnacentral:rRNA from 1 species